GAGGCAGAGGAUUCAGGUGACAGUGAUGCUGAACUGGACAGUGAUGGACUCAAAGGAGAGCGGGAGUUGGGAGACAAUAUGAUGGAGAAAAGAGCUGACAUGGAUUCUGAAGUGGUCCUGACACAGUCCAUGGUAGUGAAGAAGGAUGCCCUGUCCAAAAGAUACUACAGAAGUAAGUGUGUGUCUCUCUGGAGCUGGCUCCUGGUUUGGGUGAACUGCAUGGAUUGUAGACUGAAGGUCAAUUGAUUGAAGACAUUGAGAAACACUUCAGUAUUACAACAUAUUCUACCAUGGAGUGGUUUCAUAGUUGUGGACAGACUGGAGGAAACACUUUGAAAUGUGCCCCUUGGUGUCUUCAUUAAGCCUGUAACAGCUAUCAAAAUCAACUGAUAUUCUCAGAGGAACAGAAAACAUUCCAGUAAAUGGAACUCAAACAUGAAUAUAAAGUGAACUAUUAAAUCCAAUAACCACUGUUUCUGUUUUUCUUUUUCUUUGGAACAGCUUACUGUUGUAAGUAUUUUAUUUUAUUAUGGUACAUUAAUAUGUAGAAAUGAAUUGUAUAUAUUUUUAAAUUGUAUUU